AGCGGACGGGUGAGUAACACGUGGGCAACCUGCCCUGUAGACGGGGAUAACUUCGGGAAACCGGAGCUAAUACCGGAUAAUCCUCUUCCCCACAUGGGGAAGAGUUGAAAGGCGCUUUUGCGUCACUACAGGAUGGGCCCGCGGUGCAUUAGCUAGUUGGUGGGGUAACGGCCUACCAAGGCGACGAUGCAUAGCCGACCUGAGAGGGUGAUCGGCCACAUUGGGACUGAGACACGGCCCAAACUCCUACGGGAGGCAGCAGUAGGGAAUCUUCCACAAUGGACGAAAGUCUGAUGGAGCAACGCCGCGUGAGUGAUGAAGGUUUUCGGAUCGUAAAACUCUGUUGUAAGGGAAGAACCAGUACGUCAGGCAAUGGACGUACCUUGACGGUACCUUAUUAGAAAGCCACGGCUAACUACGUGCCAGCAGCCGCGGUAAUACGUAGGUGGCAAGCGUUGUCCGGAAUUAUUGGGCGUAAAGCGCGCGCAGGCGGUUUCUUAAGUCUGAUGUGAGAGCCCACGGCUUAACCGUGGAGGGUCAUUGGAAACUGGGAGACUUGAGUGCAGAAGAGGAAAGUGGAAUUUCCAAGUGUAGCGGUGAAAUGCGUAGAGAUUUGGAGGAACACCAGUGGCGAAGGCGACUUUCUGGUCUGCACUGACGCUGAGG
rnacentral:rRNA from 1 species